UAGUUGAGUUUGAUCUUAAUGCAUGUAUGUCCGACACGCCACCUAAUGCGUU
rnacentral:sRNA from 1 species